GACAGAGGUGCCGAGCGUUAGGCGGAAUCACUGGGCUUAAAGCGUGUGUAGGCGGACUCGUAAGUGCUUUGUGAAAUCCCACGGCUCACCCGUGGAACUGCUUGGCAUACUGCGAGCCUUGAGCCACUUAGGGGCAACCGGAACAAACGGUGGAGCGGUGAAAUGCGUAGAUAUCGGAAGGAACGCCGGUGGCGAAAGCGACGUGCUGGACCUCUUCUGACGCUGAGGCGCGAAAGCCAGGGGAGCGAACGGG
rnacentral:rRNA from 1 species